GACGAACGCUGGCGGCGUGCUUAACACAUGCAAGUCGAACGGAAAGGCCCUGCUUUUGUGGGGUGCUCGAGUGGCGAACGGGUGAGUAACACGUGAGUAACCUGCCCUUGACUUUGGGAUAACUUCGGGAAACUGGGGCUAAUACCGGAUAGGAGCUCCUGCUGCAUGGUGGGGGUUGGAAAGUUUCGGCGGUUGGGGAUGGACUCGCGGCUUAUCAGCUUGUUGGUGGGGUAGUGGCUUACCAAGGCUUUGACGGGUAGCCGGCCUGAGAGGGUGACCGGCGAGAUUGGGACUGAGAUACGGCGCAGACUCGUACGGGAGGCAGCAGUGGGAAAUAUGGAACACUGGGCGGACGACUCAUGCAGCAACGCGGCGUGCGGGAUGACGGCAUUCGGGUUGUAAACCGCUUUAGCCUGUGACGAAGCGUGCGUGACGGUAAUGGGUAAAGAAGCCCCGGCUAACUACGUG
rnacentral:rRNA from 1 species